rnacentral:rRNA from 1 species
CCUACGGGCGGCAGCAGUGGGGAAUAUUGGACAAUGGGCGAAAGCCUGAUCCAGCCAUGCCGCGUGUGUGAAGAAGGCCUUCGGGUUGUAAAGCACUUUCAGGGGGGAAGAAAGCCUUGGGGCUAAUACCCUCGAGGAAGGACAUCACCCACAGAAGAAGCACCGGCUAACUCCGUGCCAGCAGCCGCGGUAAUACGGAGGGUGCGAGCGUUAAUCGGAAUUACUGGGCGUAAAGCGCGCGUAGGCGGUCUGAUAAGCCGGUUGUGAAAGCCCCGGGCUCAACCUGGGAACGGCAUCCGGAACUGUCAGGAGAGAGUGCAGGAGAGGAAGGUAGAACUCCCGGUGUAGCGGUGAAAUGCGUAGAGAUCGGGAGGAAUACCAGUGGCGAAGGCGGCCUUCUGGACUGACACUGACGCUGAGGUGCGAAAGCGUGGGUAGCAAACAGGAUUAGAUACCCUAGUAGUC